rnacentral:rRNA from 1 species
UACGUAGGGGGCAAGGGUUGUCCGGAUUUAUUGGGCGUAAAGAGCGUGUAGGCGGCCAGGUAGGUCUGCUGUGAAAACUCGAGGCUUAACCUCGAGCUGUCGGCGGAAACCAUCUGGCUAGAGUCCGGAAGAGGAGAAUGGAAUUCCCGGUGUAGCGGUGAAAUGCGCAGAUAUCGGGAAGAACACCCGUGGCGAAGGCGGUUCUCUGGGACGGUACUGACGCUGAGACGCGAAAGCGUGGGGAGCGAACAGG